rnacentral:rRNA from 1 species
AACGAACGCUGGCGGCAUGCCUAACACAUGCAAGUCGAACGAGACCUUCGGGUCUAGUGGCGCACGGCUGCGUAACGCGUGGGAACCUGCCCUUAGGUUCGGAAUAACUCCCCGAAAGGGGUGCUAAUACCGGAUAAUGUCUUCGGACCAAAGAUUUAUCGCCUUUGGACGGGCCCGCGUUGGAUUAGCUAGUUGGUAGGGUAAAAGCCUACCAAGGCGACGAUCCAUAGCUGGUCUGAGAGGAUGAUCAGCCACACUGGGACUGAGACACGGCCCAGACUCCUACGGGAGGCAGCAGUGGGGAAUAUUGGACAAUGGGCGAAAGCCUGAUCCAGCAAUGCCGCGUGAGUGAUGAAGGCCUUAGGGUUGUAAAGCUCUUUUACCCGGGAUGAUAAUGACAGUACCGGGAGAAUAAGCUCCGGCUAACUCCGUG